UACAGAGGUCUCAAGCGUUGUUCGGAUUCAUUGGGCGUAAAGGGUGCGUAGGCGGCGCGGUAAGUCGGGUCGUGAAAUCUCGGAGCUUAACUCCGAAACUGCAUUCGAUACUGCCGUGCUUGAGGACUGGAGAGGAGACUGGAAUUUACGGUGUAGCGGUGAAAUGCGUAGAUAUCGUAAGGAAGACCAGUGGCGAAGGCGGGUCUCUGGGACAGUUCCUGACACUGAGGCACGAAGGCCAGGGGAGCAAACGGG
rnacentral:rRNA from 1 species